GCCCAAGCUCAUCUGCUCCUAAUAUAGACACUUGACAGGAGCCCUGCAGCUGUGAACAUCAGUGUUUGAUUUGAUGAAUGAAGCCUAUUUCAUCCGGGCACCCAGGGAAGACUGGGUCAAGGGCCAUGUAUACCUACUUUUAGCUUGUCAGUGGGACAAUACCAUCAAAAGUGGACCUAAUUAGAGCUGAAUUCUCAGCAGCCAUUAUUCCAGUCUCAGUGUUCCACAAUCCUUCAGAUCAUCAUCCCAUCAUGAUCCUUCAGAUCAAUCAUUCUGAUAUUCAUUGCAAGGGGAGGCACGUAUGCAGCCUCUCCAUGGCCUUAUGCACACAUUUGGAACUCGUUAAACUCCUGACCUGAGAACAGUGCUACAGCUGAAGACAGACCACCACAGCCAAAUCUAACCUCAUAGAUGAGACGGUUUCCUGACCUCACUGAGAAGACAGAGCUCAUGUGCAAGUGAGUGGGAAUAACGCAUGCCGCUGAUUGGAACCGCAGACCCCUCAGGCCCCCACUCUUAAUUAUUGCUAGAAUGCCACAAGAAUUCGUACAGAUGUUUUACCAGAAAAAAAGGUAAAAAAAAAUAUGAAAAGAGGGUGAACAUUUUACCUUGACACCUAAUAGAUCAGAACCUUGACUUAAAAAGUGAUUUUUAUAAAAGUAC
ensembl:lncRNA